AACUCUCCGGUGGGAGACGGAGGUGGUCAAUGGUUGGGGAGGGGCCGUGGAGGCGGCGGGAGGGAGACAUGAGGAAGGAGGUGGAGACGGCGGCGAAGACGGAGAAGAAGAUGGUUUUGAUGUUGAGAGGGUCAGCAAUGGAGGGUAACCAUGGUUGUGCAAAGUCGUGGAAGACGAGUUGGGGGCGGAGGUCGGCGAGGAGGGAGGCGACUUGGGGCUUCAUGAGGUCGAGGGCUUGUUUGAGGAGCUCGGCCAUGGCCGGGGUGAUGGUGGCGGUGCUCUCGGCGCCGG
rnacentral:misc_RNA from 1 species